CACGUAGGGCGCAAGCGUUGUCCGGAAUUAUUGGGCGUAAAGAGCUCGUAGGCGGUCUGUUACGUCUGCUGUGAAAACCCGGGGCUUAACCCUGGGCUUGCAGUGGAUACGGGCAGACUAGAGGCAGGUAGGGGAGAAUGGAAUUCCUGGUGUAGCGGUGAAAUGCGCAGAUAUCAGGAAGAACACCCGUGGCGAAGGCGGUUCUCUGGGACGGUACUGACGCUGAGACGCGAAAGCGUGGGGAGCGAACAGG
rnacentral:rRNA from 1 species